rnacentral:rRNA from 1 species
UCAGGAUGAACGCUAGCUACAGGCUUAGCACAUGCAAGUCGAGGGGCAGCAUGGGAGUUGCUGCAAUCCUGAUGGCGACCGGCGCACGGGUGAGUAACGCGUAUCCAACCUUCCCCUUAGUAGGGCAUAGCCCGGUGAAAAUCGGAUUAAUACCCUAUGUUUUCCAAUGCAGACAUCUAAAAUGGAACAAAGGUUUACCGCUAAGGGAUGGGGAUGCGUCUGAUUAGGUGGUAGGCGGGGUAACGGCCCACCUAGCCUUCGAUCAGUAGGGGUUCUGAGAGGAAGGUCCCCCCACAUUGGAACUGAGACACGGUCCAAACUCCUACGGGAGGCAGCAGUGAGGAAUAUUGGUCAAUGGGCGAGAGCCUGAACCAGCCAAGUAGCGUGCAGGAUGACGGCCCUAUGGGUUGUAAACUGCUUUUAUAUGGGGAUAAAGUUCACCACGUGUGGUGUUUUGCAGGUACCAUAUGAAUAAGGACCGGCUAAUUCCGUGCCAGCCGCCGC